AGCCCCGGCAGAAGACUACGCUGCUCUUUAAAAUUUGCAAUCUUAUGUGCUAUACACUACAGGACU
rnacentral:tRNA from 1 species